rnacentral:tRNA from 1 species
GCCCCCGUAGUCUAGCCUGGACAGGAUACGGGCCUCCGGAGCCUGGGACCGGGGUUCGAAUCCCCGCGGGGGCG